AAACUCGGCCGAAAUUAAACCUCAAAUGUCAGACAUGGAUGUGAAGGUGAAAGAAAAAUAUAAACACCUGAUUAAGUAGCUAUAUAUAUGUCGGCUAUCGGUGCUCUAACCUUGAGCUCUGGACUGGACAGGGUCUCCUGUAUGCUCUAGUGUAAAAAUAAGAAAAUGCCAAGUUAACUUCAGGCAUGCAUGGCACUCAAGGUGUCGUGAUCUUGAGAACGACGGCUACAAGCCUCUCCCAGAUGUGAAUCCAACCACGAUAACCUAUGGUACUGGAGACUUGACCGUCUUGUUUGAUAAGUAGUAUGUGCUCACCUUGGAAUGCAGAUAAUCAGAUAUAUAGGCCCGGGAAAUCUCAGUUUUUUGCUUUGUCAGACUCUGUGCAUGAAAUGGCAACUUGUCAGUUUUCUUCGUGCGUGCUGUCCAUGAUCGUAUUGAUUCUUUCAAUCCAUGAGAAUCCCUUGCAUGCCGUUGAUACGCUCACUGCAAACCAGCCGCUCUCUGGUGACCAGAAGUUGAUCUCUCAGGACGGCAAGUUCGCUCUGGGGUUCUUCCAGCCUGCAGCCGGAGGAUCUAGUGGGAAGUGGUACAUAGGUAUCUGGUACAACAAAAUCACAGUUCAAACUGUGGUCUGGGUGGCUAACAGGGACACACCAAUCUACGAUCUAGCAUCAUCAAACCUUACCAUCUCAGCUGAUGGAAAUCUUGUUCUCCUAGUGAAGCAUCUUAAAAUCCCAGUGUGGUCUAGCAAUAUUACAAACAACACAGCUACUAAUUCAACAGUUGCUGUACUCCUUGACACAGGGAACCUAGUUAUCAGACAAAUUCCAACACCUCCAAUGCUAUAUGGCAAAGCUUCGAUCAUCUUACAAACACAUGGCUCCCAGGCAGCAAGCUCAGUCGCAAUAAGGUGACUGGUGUGAUCAACCAUCUGAUCUCUUGGAAGGAACCAAGUGAUCCUGCACCAGGAAUGUUCUCCCUUCAGAUGGAUCCAAGUGGUGCAAACCAGUACACUCUUCUAUGGAAUAACUCCAUUGAGUAUUGGGCUAGUGGCAACUGGACCGGCGACUCAUUUACUGGUGUGCCAGAGAUGUCACCUGCAAGCGCCUAUCCCAAUUCUGCAUAUACAUUCCAAUUUAUCGACAAUGACCAGGAGGUGUCCUUCAUGUACAAUGUUACAGAUGAUGCAUUAUUAACAAGAAAUGUUAUAGACAUGUCAGGCCAAACCCAAGCCUGGGUGUGGGUAGAUGCAGCACAAGCAUGGGUUCUCUAUUUUUCACAACCAAAAUUAAUGUGUGGUGUGUAUGGAAUAUGUGGAGCAUAUAGCAAGUGUAGCAGUAAUGCUGUGUUAUCAUGCACCUGUCUCAAGGGAUUCAGCGAGAGUCCAAGAAAUGGGAAUCCUGGUAACCAAACUGCUGGCUGCAGGAGAAAUGUCCCGUUGCAAUGUGGACACGGUGACUCAGCAAAGGUGAAGAAUCAAGAAGGUUUCUACAUGAUCGGUUGUGCCCAUUUGCCAGACAAGGCACAAGGCACAGAUGCUGCCAACGUUCACAGCUGUUAGUCAGCUUGUCUGAAUAACUGCUCCAGCACCGCUUACCAUUUCAACGGUACUUGCUUGCUUUGGUACAACAAUAUGAUAAAUCUGCGACAUGAUAUUGAUGGAUUGAUGGAUAAUAUUUUCAUCAGGUUGGCUGGCUCAGAACUUCCUGACUCAAGAAGGGAGAAACAUUGGCAUCGGGAUCAUCAUUGUUGGACUUACUGUUGUAAGUAUUGGAGUGGCCAUUUUAUAUUUCUUGCAUGUGAGAAGAAGAAUUGGCCAUAUAUAUAGUGGUGAUGGGUCUAUGAUAAACUUCAGAUACAAUGAUUUGCAGUUUAUAACUAGAAACUUCACCGAGAAGUUAGGAGCAGGGUCUUUUGGUUCCGUGUUCAAAGAUAAUUCCAGACACAGCUACAGUAGCAGUUAAGAGGUUAGAAGGCCUGUGUCAAGGGGAGAAAGAAUUCAGAGCAGAGGUGAGCACCAUUGGAAAGAUUCAUCACAAAAACCUGAUUCGACUACUUGGGUUUUGUUGUGGAGGAUCAAAGAAGUUGCUUGUCUAUGAGUACAUGCCCAAUGGCUCACUCGACCAGCACUUGUUUGGAAAGAGUAAUCUGACUCUUAGUUGGAGCACAAGGUAUCAGAUCACCGUAGGAAUUGCCAAGGGGUUAGCUUAUCUACAUGAGGGGUGCAGGGAUUGUAUCAUACACUGUGAUAUCAAGCCACAAAACAUACUAAUUAAUGAAUCGCUUGCACCAAAGGUAGCAGAUUUCGGGCUGUCCAAGCUGAUAGGUCAUGAUUUCAGCAGAGUCCUGACGUCGAUGAGAGGAACACUAGGGUACCUUGCACCCGAAUGGUUAAGCGGCCAGGCUAUCACUUCAAAGGCAGAUGUUUUCAGCUAUGGCAUGAUGCUUUUUGAGAUCAUUUCAGGGAAGAGGAACAUAGAGCACGGAGCUAGCACAAGUAGUUCAAUGUUGAUUGCAGAGGAGAUUCCAAAAGGAGGAGAGGUGCACAGAUUGUUCGACCCUGAGCUGGUUGGUGAUGCAAACCCAGAGGAGCUCGCCAGGGUGUUCAAGGUUGCCUGCUGGUGCAUUCAGAAUCACCCUGACUGUAGGCCAUCGAUGCGAGAGAUCAUUCAGAUUCUGGAAGGGCUAAAGCCUUUCGAAACACCACCUGUUCCAAGGUAUCUCAAACUUCUUGCUGAUGGUCAAGAGUAA